rnacentral:rRNA from 1 species
GCUCAGAACGAACGCUAGCGGCGCGUAUCAGGCAUGCAAGUCGCACGGUAUCAGGCUUCUUUUGAGGUGCUGACGAGUGGCGCACGGGUGAGUAACGCGUAGGUAAUCUACCUGAUGGUCAGGGAUAGCCCUACGAAAGUAGGAUUAAUACCUGAUAAUCUGUAAUAUAUUUACAGUAAAGGCAUAUUUAUAUGUCGCCUUCUGAUGAGCCUGCGUUGGAUUAGCUUGUUGGUAUGGUAAUGGCUUACCAAGGCUUCGAUCCAUAGCCGAGUUGAGAGGCUGAUCGGCCACAUUGGGACUGAGACACGGCCCAGACUCCUACGGGAGGCAGCAGCUAAGAAUCUUCCGCAAUGGUCGAAAGACUGACGGAGCGACGCCGCGUGAACGAAGAAGGCUCUUGGGUUGUAAAGUUCUUUUAUAGUGGACGAAUGUUUAGAUUUAGUCUAAUCUGACGGUACACUAUGAAUAAGCCCCGGCUAACUACGUGCCAGCAGCCGCGGUAAUACGUAGGGGGCAAGCGUUGUUCGGAAUCAUUGGGCGUAAAGGGUAUGUAGGCGGCAUAGUAAGUUAGAUGUGAAAGCCCUGGGCUCAACCCUGGGAUUGCGUCUAAUACUGCUGUGCUAGAGUAGCUUAGGGGAAAGCGGGAUUCCUGGUGUAGGGGUGAAAUCUAUAGAGAUCAGGAAGAACACCUGUGGCGAAGGCUGUUUUCUGGGAGCUUACUGACGCUGAUAUACGAAAGCCGGGGUAGCAAACAGGAUUAGAGACCCUGGUAGUCCCGGCUGUAAACGUUGUAUACUAGGUGGUUGUAGUAUUGACCUGUGACUGCCGUAGCUAACGCAUUAAGUAUACCGCCUGGGGAGUAUGCCGGCAACGGUGAAACUCAAAGGAAUUGACGGGGGCCCGCACAAGCAGUGGAGCAUGUUGUUUAAUUCGAUGAUACGCGAGAAACCUUACCAGGACUUGACAUAUACCUGAUUGGCAUAGAAAUAUGUCUUCCUUUUUGGCAGGUAUACAGGUGCUGCAUGGUUGUCGUCAGCUCGUGCCGUGAGGUGUUGGGUUAAGUCCCGCAACGAGCGCAACCCCUGUUCUUUGUUGCUAACAGAUAACGCUGAGCACUCGAAGGAGACUGCCGGUGACAAACCGGAGGAAGGUGGGGACGACGUCAAAUCAUCAUGGCCUUUAUGUCCUGGGCUACAAACGUGCUACAAUGGACGGUACAAAGAGUUGCGAGAGCGCGAGCUAUUAGCUAAUCUCAAAAAGCCGUCCUCAGUUCGGAUUGGAGUCUGAAACCCGACUCUAUGAAGCUGGAAUUGCUAGUAAUCGCACAUCAUUAUGGUGCGGUGAAUACGUUCCCGGGCCUUGUACACACCGCCCGUCACAUCACCCGAGUUGACUAUACCCGUAGUAUCUGAGCUAACCUGUUUUUCAGGAGG